GUCACCUUGUGGCUGCAGCUGCCCACAGACAGAUCACCCCUGGCAAAUUGCUGGUCCUGAGCAAACAGCCUCGAGAAGCAGGCAGGGGAGGGAGGUUAAGAGGACUGGACCACAGACACCUUGAACUCAGAAGAUCCAAAACCACCCUGUAUUCCAUGUCUUGGUAAACUGUAUCCCCAUCUAGUAAGCUGCCUGAGUUAGAAAGGUGGGUGUCAUCACUGAUUCUCCACUCAAUCACCAAGCCCCAUGGAUCGGAAUUAUCUCAUAAUAUCUCAUCUACCCACCUCUACAUCCCUGCCUUAGUUCAGGGUCCCCCACUUCCUCACCUGGGCUAACAGAUCUACAACUUGACUCCAGUUUUCCCUCCUUCCAUAAUUCAUUUAGUCCUCUAACAGAUAUUUAUUGAGCAUUCGGACACUAGGAUGGUCACAGAUACUAGGAUAUCUGCCUUCCCAAUGUCCUUUAUCAUCUUCUUCCUCACCAACUGAAUCCCAAUUUGGUAACAUGCACCUUCAAAAAAAUAUCACCUUCACAGCCUUCUUUGCAACUAAAGGCUACCUAGGCAGAUAUCUCUGGAAACGGCAUCUUUCCUUGAACGUAAAAAAAGAAGGGUGGGGAGGCUUCCAAGGAAAAAGCAUUUUUCUCCUUCCCCUUAGCCCUUGUUCUCCUUUCAGCAUGAAGUGUGGACGUGAGGCCUGGAGAUGUAGCACCCACCUUAUAAUCAUGAGGAAGAAUGCCACGUGUGGAGGAUGGUGCCGCAGGAAUCUGGAAGAGCUGGAUCCUGGACGACUUGCUCAAGCAGCUGCAUGUUCCUCCUGCCACCUACUUCUGGAUAUUGUGUUAGGGAAGUACACUCUCUGCGAGACUAGAAUUACGACCGGAAAACAAAAUGAGGAUCUGAAGCUCAAAAUGGGAAACCAGCAUGAGCAUACACAUCCAUUCAGAGGAGGUGAAAGUGGAGUGACUGAUGCUAGAAUCCCCAUCUUCUGAGUCAACAGUCCAGAGAACAAGGCCAAAACAGCCACAAAUACUUUUCAGGCUUCAGGAUCAAAUUUUUUAUUCUUGAAC
rnacentral:lncRNA from 10 species